GAUGAACGCUGGCGGCGUGCUUAACACAUGCAAGUCGAACGGUGAAGCAGGAGCUUGCUCUUGUGGAUCAGUGGCGAACGGGUGAGUAACACGUGAGCAACCUGCCCCUGACUCUGGGAUAAGCGCUGGAAACGGCGUCUAAUACUGGAUAUGUGAUGUGACCGCAUGGUCUGCAUCUGGAAAGAAUUUCGGUGGGGGAUGGGCUCGCGGCCUAUCAGCUUGUUGGUGAGGUAAUGGCUCACCAAGGCGUCGACGGGUAGCCGGCCUGAGAGGGUGACCGGCCACACUGGGGCUGAGACACGGCCCAGACUCCUACGGGAGGCAGCAGUGGGGAAUAUUGCACAAUGGGCGGAAGCCUGAUGCAGCAACGCCGCGUGAGGGAUGACGGCCUUCGGGUUGUAAACCUCUUUUAGCAGGGAAGAAGCGAAAGUGACGGUACCUGCAGAAAAAGCACCGGCUAACUACGUGCCAGCCGCCGUAAAAC
rnacentral:rRNA from 1 species